GGGCUGACCAGCUGGCACUGUGGUGCAGCUGGCUAAAGCUGGUCACUCAGCACAACUCAUUAAUUUGACCAGAGAAGGAUCUGGGCUCACCAGUAACAGCCGAAGGUUCAUCUGCACAGAGAAGGAAGAGGGACAAAUGGAGAACAGAAACAAUGGAUCAAGGGGAGGAUACAGUCUUUGGGAUUUGCACACCAGCAAGCCUAAAGCAGCAACCUGCUGAGGCCUUGAGGCACUUCAAGCCAAACAUAGAAACAUGCAGAGCAACAAGGCAAUCACGCACCAUUUGUCCCUCUCUUCUAAACAAGGUUAGAGCUAUUAUAAAUAAAUAAAUAAAAAUAAAGACAAAGAUUGAUUGCAGCCCCGUGCCCACACAAAAGGGAAUGGUUUACAUUUUGUCCUUUUUUGAUUGAAUACAGUUGUGUUUCCAUGCCAGGCAUUUUCUUCUAGGUGAAAGUAGUGUACCAGAUUGUAAUUGACUAUGUGGCCCUUAGCUCUCCCAAACAGAAGCAGUAAUUGCUUCAUCCCCUAAAUGCUGCAUUAAUUUUUUGUCUUUUUUUUUUUUUUUAUUAGGUAAAAAGUGGAGUUAUUGACAGUGUGUGGCUGUGGCAUACUAUGGAAGCCACGCAUCUGCCCCAUUUUUGCU